GACGAACGCUGGCGGCGUGCUUAACACAUGCAAGUCGAACGGAAAGGCCCUGCUUUUGUGGGGUGCUCGAGUGGCGAACGGGUGAGUAACACGUGAGUAACCUGCCCUUGACUUUGGGAUAACUUCAGGAAACUGGGGCUAAUACCGGAUAGGAGCUCCUGCUGCAUGGUGGGGGUUGGAAAGUUUCGGCGGUUGGGGAUGGACUCGCGGCUUAUCAGCUUGUUGGUGGGGUAGUGGCUUACCAAGGCUUUGACGGGUAGCCGGCCUGAGAGGGUGACCGGCCACAUUGGGACUGGGAUACGGCCCAGACUCCUACGGGAGGAAGCAGUGGGGAAUAUUGCACAAUGGGCGGAAGCCUGAUGCAGCAACGCCGCGUGCGGGAGGACGGCCUUCGGGUUGUAAACCGCUUUCGCCUGUGACGAAGCGUGAGUGACGGUAAUGGGUAAAGAAGCACCGGCUAACUACGU
rnacentral:rRNA from 1 species